rnacentral:rRNA from 2 species
UAGGGAAUUUUCGUCAAUGGGCGCAAGCCUGAACGAGCGAUGCCGCGUGAGUGAAGAAGGCCUUCGGGUCGUAAAGCUCUGUUGCGGGGGAAAAAAGGCAUCUGCAGGAAAUGGUAGAUGACAGAUGGUGCCCCGCCAGAAAGUCACGGCUAACUACGUGCCAGCAGCCGCGGUAAUACGUAGGUGGCGAGCGUUAUCCGGAAUGAUUGGGCGUAAAGGGUGCGCAGGCGGUCCUGCAAGUCUGGAGUGAAACGUAUGAGCUCAACUCAUGCAUGGCUCUGGAAACUGGAGGACUGGAGAGCAGGAGAGGGCGGUGGAACUCCAUGUGUAGCGGUAAAAUGCGUAGAUAUAUGGAAGAACACCAGUGGCGAAGGCGGCCGCCUGGCCUGUUGCUGACGCUGAGGCACGAAAGCGUGGGGAGCAAAUAGG